UGCGUAGGCGGUCCCGCAAGUCCGCUGUGAAAGCCCCGGGCUUAACCUGGGAAUGGCAGUGGAAACUAGGGGACUUGAAUCCGGCAGAGGGGGGUGGAAUGCCACGUGUAGCAGUGAAAUGCGUAGAGAUGUGGCGGAACACCGAUGGCGAAGGCAGUCCCCUGGGUUGAGAUUGACGCUCAGGCACGAAAGCGUGGGGAGCAAACAGGAUUAGAUACCCUGGUAGUCCACGCCCUAAACGAUGAUCACUAGGUGUUGGGGAAGCGAUUUCUCAGUACCGCAGCUAACGCGUGAAGUGAUCCGCCUGGGGAGUACGGUCGCAAGAUUAAA
rnacentral:rRNA from 1 species